UGUUAGGUCAGGUUUAGGUUUUGGUCUCCCUUUCCUCUCCCCUCCCCGGAGGGGGGCGGGGAGUGAAUGUGUUACAGCUGCUUUCUUUUUAUUGCUCCUCUCCUUUCUAUACUUCUUACUGUUUGAACUCUGCUGUAGGAUUGCCAGUUUUUCCAUCUUUCCACCUCUUCUUUGUCUAGCACUGUUUUCUGUUAUAAAUUACCCUCAAGUUUGUGAAAUAUCACUUGGUGAUUUUUAUUUUCUUCUAGGAAUUCUUUUGAAGAACCUCUUAAUUUAACUGUUGGUGGUUUGAGAAAUUAGAAUUACCAGUAGCAACCAGGCAAAGCAGCUGUCUUGAAUGUGUGAAAAUGGCAACUGCUUAUUUACAAGGCAAGGGAAGGUUUUGAGAAAGCUUGUUUCUCUGGUGAUCUGGACAUUGAUCUUCCAGUGCAACAGGGCAGAGAACUGCAUCCGCAGUUGGACACGUCAUCCUGCUGAGUGCUGCUGCGUGGGCUGGGAGCCUGAUUUCUCUUACUGCAUUCAAUGGAGCUACCCACCAUAGAGAUCAACAAAUAAAGCCGGUGUUCACGUACUACUUGUGAGCCUUUGCUGUGCUUCAUGAUUUGCACUUAUUUUUCCCCAGAGGAUUAUAAUUGAAGUGUUGCCUUGUGACUGUGCUGAACUGAGAAACAGAGCUGAGCUGAAAUUCCCAGGCCAAAGGAUAUCACGGCUACUAUUAACCUUGGCACCCCUUCAAAAAUGUCAAAGGAACCGGUGCCGAGUGUUUCUCUUGCUCCCACCUGUGCUUUGGGAUGAGAAAGAAUAACACUAACAUGCAGAGACCACUUCCUCUUGGAUGCAUCUGGAGCAGUUUAUUAGGCAAUCCACUGAGCUGGGACUGGGCUGCCAGCAGCUGAUGAUGAGCAGUGCYAAGAUACUGUAGUGGGCUGCUGAUCAAUUUUCUGCCUUUGAGAACGCUUGAAAAGUUAGAUUAGUGAAAUAUCACUCUGAUGAACCACAGCUUCACCAUGAGGACGUUAGGCAUCCAGGACUGUAUGAAGUAGCUUCACCAGCAGUCUUUCACUCAYUUUUCUUCUUGAAGGUAACUGUGGGUGGUCUUCCUUUGUCUAAUUUCUGUAAAUUUGGUACAUCACUUUCUAGUUAUGCAGCUGAUGCUCAUGUUUAUAUGAAUGGCUAUUUAAAAAAAAGAAAGAUCAGAUGUUUGUUGUUUCACUUCAACAUAAAUCAAACUUUGUAUUCACACAGCAAUUCUAGUCUAGCCCCAGGAAUAGCUUUAGUAUUGCUAAGUGUCUGGAGAAUAUUGACUACAGAGACAUGAUUUUAAGCAGGCUAUAAUAGUUUCUACAGCUGUUAACAGUUCAUAGAAGAAAGGCAGUAUUAUUCAUUGGUGUUUAAAAUGCGCAUGACUUGCAUUGCACAGAAGUCAGAUUGGGAGAAUGUCAGAAUUUUUUUUCUGAAUUUCUGCCAGGAAAGUCUUCAAUAACUAGAGAAAUUCUUUUCACUGGUGAAAUCAACAUGCAGCACAUUGUGUUAUUAUAAUUGCUUAUAGCUCACCAUGAAAGUUGUCUUUGUAUGUGUAGAUGUACGACUUGUACUGUUUUGUUUUUAUUUAUUCUGCAUU